rnacentral:rRNA from 1 species
GAUGAACGCUGGCGGCGUGCCUAAUACAUGCAAGUCGAGCGAACAGACGAGGAGCUUGCUCCUCUAACGUUAGCGGCGGACGGGUGAGUAACACGUGGAUAACCUACCUAUAAGACUGGGAUAACUUCGGGAAACCGGAGCUAAUACCGGAUAAUAUAUUGAACCGCAUGGUUCAAUAGUGAAAGACGGUUUUGCUGUCACUUAUAGAUGGAUCCGCGCCGCAUUAGCUAGUUGGUAAGGUAACAGCUUACCAAGGCAACGAUGCGUAGCCGACCUGAGAGGGUGAUCGGCCACACUGGAACUGAGACACGGUCCAGACUCCUACGGGAGGCAGCAGUAGGGAAUCUUCCGCAAUGGGCGAAAGCCUGACGGAGCAACGCCGCGUGAGUGAUGAAGGUCUUCGGAUCGUAAAACUCUGUUAUUAGGGAAGAACAAAUGUGUAAGUAACUAUGCACGUCUUGACGGUACCUAAGCAGAAAGCCACGGCUAACUACGU